GACGAACGCUGGCGGCGUGCUUAACACAUGCAAGUCGAACGGUAAGGCCCCACCUUGCUGGGGUGCUCGAGUGGCGAACGGGUGAGUAACACGUGGGUGACCUGCCCUUCACUUUGGGAUAACUUCAGGAAACUGGGGCUAAUACCGGAUAGGAGCUCCUGCUGCAUAGUGUGGUGUGGAGAUUUUUGGCGGUUGGGGAUGGCCUCGCGGCUUCUCAGCUUGUUGGUGGGGUAGUGGCUUACCAAGGCCUCGACGGGUAGCCGGCCUGAGAGGGUGAACGGCCACAUUGGGACUGAGACACGGCCCAGACUCCUACGGGAGGCAGCAGUGGGGAAUAUUGCACAAUGGGCGGAAGCCUGAUGCAGCGACGCCGCGUGCGGGAUGACGGCCUUCGGGUUGUAAACUGCUUUCGCCUGUGACGAAGCGUGAGUGACGGUAAAGGGAGAAGAAGCACCGGCUAACUACGUG
rnacentral:rRNA from 1 species